rnacentral:rRNA from 1 species
ACGGGGUGCAGCAGGCGCGAAAACUUUACAAUGCUGGCAACAGCGAUAAGGGAACCUCGAGUGCCAGGUUACAAAUCUGGCUGUCGAGAUGCCUAAAAAGCAUUUCAUAGCAAGGGCCGGGCAAGACCGGUGCUAGCCGCCGCGGUAACACCGGCGGCUCGAGUGGUAACCGUUAUUAUUGGGUCUAAAGGGUCUGUAGCCGGCCGGAUAAGUCUCUUGAGAAAUCUGGCAGCUCAACUGUCAGGCUUUCAGGAGAUACUGUCUGGCUCGAGGCCGGGAGAGGUGAGAGGUACUUCAGGGGUAGGGGUGAAAUCUUGUAAUCCUUGAAGGACCACCAGUGGCGAAGGCGUCUCACCAGAACGGACCUGACGGCAAGGGACGAAAGCUAGGGGCACGAACCGGAUUAGAUACCCGGGUAGUCCUAGCCGUAAACGAUACUCGCUAGGUGUCGGCCACGGUGCGACCGUUGUCGGUGCCGUAGGGAAGCCGUGAAGCGAGCCACCUGGGAAGUACGGCCGCAAGGCUGAAACUUAAAGGAAUUGGCGGGGGAGCAC